UUAUACCGGUGUCAGACUGCGAGCUGGAACAUCGGGCAAUUACUACAAUUCUAUGUACACACACCUCUUCCAUGCUGGGAUUAUAGUCUUGCCAGACGUUUUCCACCGCCGAUGGGAAAAUAGCAAUUACAUCGAUGACUACUUUCUAGCAUGUUUGAGCUGGUUCUGUAGGGUGAAAAGUAAAGAUUAUUUGGACAGCAUAGUUAACUGCACAGUGUAUGUGUACUUGCAAGUGUCUGUGAGUCAGUGUGUUUGACAGGGCUGGAGUUAAGGGGCUCCCUCUUACUGUGAAAACUAUGCUGUAACUUUGGGACGAUCUUUUCGGGCUUAUGUUGUCCAGUGGAUGAGCUCUGGAGGAUUCAAAGCGAAGCUUCAUUCUGCAUUGCAGCGUAACAAGUUUUACGUGUUUUUCUCUUUACUGGGUGUGAAGAGUACCCCUUUAAUUUAUGUAUCUGGUGAGAAAAACCUGAAGACGGAUCUGGGAAGUGAGAUAUAAAGAAAAGCUUAAAGUAUAGUAUUUGAUUUACUUUCGGAAGUGAUUGUAUUUUUCACAUGAACGCUUACAGAAACUAUUUCACGGAAUUGUCCAAAACUGAAUGAAAUGUUAGGUAACAUCAUAUGGAUGUCAUGACAAUGGAAGAUGUGAAUUGUAACUGACUGGUUUUACAAGAUGGUACAAUGGAUGACAUAAACAGCUCUAACUCUAAGCACAAAGAUUCUAAUGGAUUUGUUAAUAAAGUAUUUAAUAUUUCCCUAGACGUGGAGAAUACAACAGGCAUAAUGAGAAUACAGGAACCUGACCUCUGUGAAACACCUGUUGUGUGUCAGGGUGUAGGUAAGGAGAAAGUGGAAUUAAACAGGAAGCCUAAAAACACUGGAAUCUGGAGAAUCAUCACCAGGAAGAAGAAUCCAACAGGAUAUGGAAGAAGGCCCCAUUCUAUGAUUCUUCCUGGAGAGACUGUGGUACCUAAGUUAUCAUUUGUAGACAAGGUGAAAUCUUUCAAGAAACUGAAGUCUACAUCAGUUUUUAGAGGGAAAGGAAGCAAGAAUGCAAAGUUCAGCACUAUUCUUAAAGAUGAACAGGAAGAGGAGUCACACUUCAGAGACCCCUCCUCCCACGUAUUUUCACAAAGGAACUUGUUCAGAAAUCGAGGUAAAAGACAUUCCUACGCAGGCUGCACCAAAGACUUUGACUGCUCAUUUGAAGAUGUAGACAUUACAGUACCUUCUGAAAACAUUGAUAAUGAAAACCAAUGGCUCAGGGAACUCUCAAAUCAUCAGAAUGGUUUUAAAUCCAUUGAGGGUGUGUCUUACAUAAAGAGGACACAUACCAAUUUCUCAAACUGUAACAAUGCAACUCUGCUUGAAGAAUACAGUAUAAAGGACUGCCCAAAGACAUUUCAGGGAGGAAGAAAAUCUAAAGGUGCUGAUGUUUGGAGUUACCUAAGGAAAAUUUCUUUUAUUGGGAAAGGGAACUCAAAUCUAGCAGAAAAAAGUUUUGACUCUGAAUUAAAUACCUUUGACAAGACAAUUGAUUCAGAUUGUGCCUCCUCUGACUUUGAAUGUAUCAGAGAUCCUAACUCCUCCCCUAAACACGCAAGUGCUGAUACCAAAGGUAAUCAUUUUGGUGGUUUAUUCAGGUGGUUUAGUAAUGUGGCUGAAACAGCAAGGAAGUGGAGAAACUCUUCACGGUCUUUUUCACCCCCAGAAGAAGGCCACUCUUCUUUGGGAACUCAUAGUGCUCAGAGAUCUGGUGAGUUUAGUCAAGUUAUAUCAUUAAGCUCAAAGAAUGAAACUAAGAUCAUGUCCCCAACUCCCAAGACUGUUCUGUCCUCAGACCCAAGUUUAUGUGAUACCCUUUCAUCUCCUAGUUUAAUAGGAGAAUCUCCACAGGUGACUUUAAAGUCAUGGAGAACCUGUCCAGAUUCCCCCAGUCCUAAUGGAUACCUGUCUGUAGCAGCUGAAGCAUCUCCACACUCACCUCACAAAUUGGUGGCUUCUAUAGAGAAUCGCGAAAGCCACAUACCUGCUGAAAGUGGGAUUUGCCUUGAAAAAGAACCAGAGUCAGAUAGAACUUCAAGCCACAAUGAUACAGGAAAUUGUCUAGAUUCCAUGAAUGACUUUGUUUCUACCAAAGAAAGACAGGAUCAAACUGGGCACAAGAAUGAUGAAAAUGAAGAAAAUUACUCAAACAGCAAAACUGCUCCACAUCACUCAGGAAAUAAGGAUCUGCCCGAUGACCACUGUUUGGAGAUGGAAAACCAACAUGUCCCAAGCCUGUCAGAGCUCAACAGCUCCUCUUUAAUCGUCACUUCACCAAAAUGGAAGAAGCGUCGCCCAACCUCAGCCUACACUAUGAUUCUGAACCUACAGAGUCCAAUUCUAGAGGAGGGGUCUGUUUCAGCCUUUGAAGCCAAGACUGGCCAUGUGGAUGAAGACCCAACAGCUUUGAAAAGCCAGAUUUUUCCUAACAAUCAGUCUGACGUCCCCCUGAAAAGGCCAGUUAUGCGACAGAGACCUCAUUCUGUAAUAGAUGGGGCUUCUGUCACCAAGACAGAGUCUCUGCAUCCUCUCAGACCACUCUCUCGUCCUCCAGGACACUCUCCCUGUGGUUCAUCUUUUAAAGCCGCACUGCAAAGAUGUCAUUCUCUGCCACUUUCACAGAGCACUCCAGCAGGCUUGGAUGAAGCAGGCUGGAGCCACUUGCUGCACCAACCAGCUGAGGCCAUGUUGACACGUGAUGGUGAUGGAGGCACAAGCAGGAGGCGGAGGCUAAUAAGGCCUGGAGCUGAACAGCUGCUAGUCAAUAAUGUAAGUGAAAGAGAAAAUGCUUUCUCAGUCUUUAGACCGCACACCAAAAGGUCAUUGAGCUGUGCGGUAAAGCACACAUUUCACAGGCAAAUGUAGACGCAGUUUAUUUUCAUGUCUUUCUCCAAAGACGGAAGUCUUCAGUUGUCAUAAAUUGGCACAAACCAGCAAGAGGAGCUUAAAAGCUGGUAUACUAUGUUAUAAUUGGGUAAUAGUCUUGGGAAUAAAUGCUGUAAAUACUCAAAAAGGUAUUCUUGUCUGUCAACAUGGGUAUAUUCACCAUUAUACAUGUAUUCCAGCCAGCGUGUCGCCAU
ensembl:lincRNA